rnacentral:rRNA from 1 species
UUGAGGAGGUGGUGACCGUGGCAGUAGAGGAGGAGUAUGGGGUAGCCAACAUUGUUUCUUUACAUAUAUAUAUUACAUACAUAUAUAUAUUUUAAUUCUGGUAGCCCCCAAAAUAUUGGGACAUAUAAAAAGAGACAACUCUGUUCCGCAGAGUAGCUGUUGACAUUAUAGUUGCGCAGGAACUUUGUUGACUCUAGAGAACCUCAGGCAAAUCGCAGAUCCCGUGGCGGUGACUUUGCAUGCGGAUGUCUUCCAUAUCAACUUUCGAUGCCAGUUUCUGCGCCCACCAUGGUGACCAUGGGUAACGGGGAAUCAGGUCUUCCAUUCCGUACAGGGACCCUGAGAAAUGGCUACCACAUGCAAAGAAGGCAGCAGGCGCGCAAAUGACCCACUCCCGACGCGGGAAGGUAGUGACGACAAAUAACAAUACAGGACUCUUUAGAGGCCCUGUAAUUGUAAUGAGUCCACUUGAAAUCCUUUAACUCUGAUCAAUUGGAGGGAAGUCUGGUGCAGAGCCACUGACCCGUGCAUGCUGCAGCUGAAAU